UACGGAGGGUGCAAGCGUUAAUCGGAAUUACUGGGCGUAAAGCGCACGCAGGUGGCUGAGUCAGUCGAUUGUGAAAGCCCUGGGCUUAACCUGGGAAUUGCAGUCGAUACUACUCAGCUAGAGUAUGGGAGAGGGUAGUGGAAUUCCCGGUGUAGCGGUGAAAUGCGUAGAUGUCGGGAGGAACAUCAGUGGCGAAGGCGGCUACCUGGCCCAAUACUGACACUCAGGUGCGACAGCGUGGGGAGCAAACAGG
rnacentral:rRNA from 1 species